AGCUGAUCAGCAUGCCGCGUGUGUGAGACGGCCUUCGGGUUGUAAAGCACUUUUGUCCGGAAAGAAAUCCUUGGCUCUAAUACAGUCGGGGGAUGACGGUACCGGAAGAAUAAGCACCGGCUAACUACGUGCCAGCAGCCGCGGUAAUACGUAGGGUGCGAGCGUUAAUCGGAAUUACUGGGCGUAAAGCGUGCGCAGGCGGUUUGCUAAGACCGAUGUUAAAUCCCCGGGCUCAACCUGGGAACUUCAUUGAUGACUGGAAGGCUAGAGUGUGGCAGAGGGCGGUAUAAUUCCUCUUGUAUUUUUUCAAUCCCUAAAGAUGUGCAUUAUAUCGAUCGGCUGC
rnacentral:rRNA from 1 species